AUUGUUCAGAUAGCCAUGCACGUCUAAGUACAAACUAAAUGAUGGUGAAACUGCAAAUGGCUCAUUACAACGGUUAUGAUGUACCCGGGAGUUCCGAUGGAUAUUUCCAGUAACACUAGAACUAAUACAUGUCCCUGCGUUUAUUAGUUUCGCACAGUCCGUCGCUGAGUCAUGGUAAACAGUUGAUCGACUCGACGUCCCGGAACAGUUUCCGCCCCAUCAGCUUCGAUGGUUGGGUAUUGGCCUACCAUUGCAACAACGGGUAACGAGGAAUUAGGGUUUGAUUUCGGAGAGGGAGCCUGAGAAACGGCUACCACAUCUACGGAUGGCAGCAGGCGCGCAAAUUACCCAAUGCAGACACUGUGAGGUAGUGACGAGAAAUAAUAAAGCGGGACUUCUGUUUCGCUAUUAUAAUGAGGAAUAACCAAAGGUCAUUCCGAUUAGCAACUGAUGGGAAAGUCUGGUGCCAGCAGCCGCGGUAAUACCAGCGUCAGUAGCAU
rnacentral:rRNA from 1 species